CGUACUGACACUGAUACUGCUGGUGGUUAGCAGUCAGCUAGUCCUCCCAGACUGCCAUACAAGCACUUUCUGAAGGCCUUAUCUUAAACAACACGACAUGACAACAGCAUGAAAGUCCUCGGGGAAAUGCCACCAGGAAAGCAGCAGCAGCAGCGCCCCGUAAAACAUUUGUAAUCCUAAAGAUUUGUGGCGGAUCCUAAAGACAAGCGUAGAGAGGGGGAAAAAAUAAAAAAGCAAGUGGCUGUGCAUGCAUGGGAGAUCUGCGACGAAAAAGCCCACAUGAUCUGAUAGAGACUCACCUCCGACGUUGUAUCCGCAAGCGUUUGGAUCGCAGUAGCCCGGAGGUCCGGCAGGUCCUACUGGCCCAGGCAUGCCCGGCCUGCCUGAAGUUCCGGGGUUACCAGGGCGACCAGCAGGGCCUGGACCACCAGCCCUUCCCUCACCAGGUGGCCCUUAGAAA